ensembl:snRNA U6 U6 spliceosomal RNA
GUGCUCACUUCUGGAGCACAUAUACUAAAGUUGGAAUGAUACAUAGAUGAUUAGCAUGCCCUGUGCACAAGAAUGAUAAAUUCUUAAAGUAUUUUAUAUUUUA